AAAGAAUGCUUCACCAGCUUUGGAACCUCAAUUAUGUUUAACACUGAAAUAAAGGAAGAUUCGAGAAAGAUAAGAAUGUAUUUUUAAAAAAGGAAAGUGUAGACGCUUCAGAAAGGGGAAGCAAAGAUUGCUUCUUCUUCCUGUAUACAAGAAAUCAUGGAUUUCACCUCAUUAUUCCCUUGAACUUCACAGAAGAACAUGAAGCAAUAUGACAAACUCAAGCAUGAAAUAUGAAACGGCCAAAGCAUAUCAGAGCAUGGGAAAAUAACUCCUGAUGAAGUUCUGGAUUACACUGUUACAGGUAAGGGGGUAGAAGUAAAACA
rnacentral:lncRNA from 1 species